GCCCAGCACCGCCUCCCGCGAGGGGCGGAAGUGACGUAAUCGCCGCGUCAGACUGCGCGACGCAGUCGCCGGGCAAAACACGCAACGCGCGGGGCGGCCUCACUCUGCUCUCUGGAGAAGUUCAGCGCGGCUUGGAGGCGGGCCCGAGAAGCUGCGCCUGCGCAGGACGUACUGCUUUGAAGGAAGGCGGGGGAGCGUUAGCCUCCGCGCCUGCGCGCUGGGAGUUGUUCCCAAAGGUAGGAGCAACGCAGCUUCCUGGCAUCCGGAAAAGAUGAGAAAACAGAGGGCCGGAGAAGUCACAGGCCCAAGGGUACAACGUCAGCAAGUGCUAGAGCUUGUCUUCACACUCAGACAGCCGACCCAAGCGCCUCAGCUCGAUGCUGUGCUGCCUCUCAAAAGGCCCCGAGGGACAGGAUGGAGGGCCUCUGGAAACUCGCAGGCGACAAGAAAACCUACGUAAUUUUCAGCCGCCCCGGGAGAGCACCGCGUGCAAGUGUGAGAGCUUUAAACAAACACUUGAUGAGAAGAAAAAAGCCCCCGAGUGACCAGAAUCGGGGACCACGAAUGGCUUCUUCCCAGCCAUGUUCCCCGGUCCCCGAUGCAAAGAAGGGCUCUAUCUAUUCCCCUCCACAAUCCACAAGGCUCCUCAAGCAGAGGCCUGGCCAUACCUGCUGAACAAUCUCUCCAUCUUCCACGUUAAACUUGACAAUGUUCACGUGGCUGAAGGGAACAACUCCGAGGGCCCACACCACCCCAGAACCAUAGGAAUACAUCAUCUGGUAAUGGAUGCUGUCACUAAGAGAGGGAAGAAACAAAGCAAGGGCCACAGCUUCAGCUGUGGGACAGGCCCCUUCUCGGGGGUCCUCUCAAAUCAGUCAGGUCCUUAGCCAGAGGUUACACACUAGCAGUCCCCAAGUAGGUUUUGUUUGGCUCACAGUUAUGUUUGGUUUGUUUCUAAAGAGUCAUCAAUGUUUAGGACUGAGACUUUACAGGGGCGCCUGGGUGGCUCGGUUGGUUAAGCAACCGACUUUGACUCAAGUCAUGAUCUCGCCAUUCCAAGU